CGGCAGCAUAGGUGCUUGCACCUGAUGGCGAGUGGCGAACGGGUGAGUAAUGCAUCGGAACGUACCCAGGAGUGGGGGAUAACGCAGCGAAAGUUGCGCUAAUACCGCAUACGAUCUACGGAGGAAAGUGGGGGACCUGCAAGGGCCUCAUGCUCGUGGAGCGGCCGAUAUCUGAUUAGCUAGCUGGUGAGGUAAAAGCUCACCAGGGCGACGAUCAGUAGCUGGUCUGAGAGGACGACCAGCCACACUGGAACUGAGACACGGUCCAGACUCC
rnacentral:rRNA from 1 species